rnacentral:ncRNA from 1 species
CUCUGAAGGAAGGUGCAGGCAAAUCUCCGGUCUGACGAACAGAAAUCUCAUAGAAGGUCAUGCAUGAGGAUAAGACUGCCAUACAAGUCAAAGUCCGAUAGCUACACGGAAUCAUGCAUGAUAGAUGAGGCAGAUAGAUGGAGAGGAAGGA